rnacentral:miRNA from 1 species
AGUCAGGCUGCUGGCUAGAGUAC